UACGUAGGGACCAAGCGUUGUUCGGAAUUACUGGGCGUAAAGGGCGCGUAGGCGGUUCGUUAAGUCCUGUGUGAAAUCCCCCGGCUCAACUGGGGAACUGCACAGGAAACUAGCGGGCUUGAGUUCGGGAGAGGGAAGCGGAAUUCCGGGUGUAGCGGCGAAAUGCGUAGAUAUCCGGAGGAACACCGGUGGCGAAGGCGGCUUCCUGGACCGACACUGACGCUGAGGCGCGAAAGCUAGGGGAGCAAACGGG
rnacentral:rRNA from 1 species